CUCUAUAAAUAGAAGGCUUCAUUAGUAUGGAGUAAACACAAGCAAGCAAGCAAAUAGCAAUAUAUAUACAAAUGAAUAUGAUGAAGUGUUUAUUUUUGUUAUGUUUGUGUUUGUUUCCCAUUGUGGUGUUUUCAUCAAGUUUCACUUCCCAAAAUCCCAUUGAAUUACCAAAUGAUUCUACUUCGGGUAAGCCAGUACUUGACAUAACUGGUAAAGAAGUUACUAGUAAUUCGAGUUAUCGCAUUAUUUCUGCGUUUUGGGGUGCGUUAGGUGGUGAUGUGUACCUAGGUGAGUCCCCAAAUUCAGAUGCCCCUUGUCUAAAUGGUACAAUUCGGAUCGUGGACCUAGAGGUACACCUGUGAAAUUCAUUCCUCAUUCUGAAGGUAUGUCUGAAAAUAAACUAUUCAACAUACAAUUCGAUAUUCCUACAUUCAGAUUGUGUGUUAAAUAUACAAUUUGGAAAGUGGGGGAGUACAAUGAAACUCUAGGUGGGGUAUUAUUGGAGACUGGAGGAAGCAUAGGGCAAAGAGAUAGCAGCUAUUUCAAGAUUGUUAAAUCAAAACUUGGUUACAACUUAAUCUGUUGCGAUUCUACUCCUAUUUUCUGCCCAUUUUGCCGUAAGGGUCAGUUAUGUGUAAAUGUGGGUGGUGUUUUUCAAGAUGGAAGAAGGCGUUUGGCUCUUACUAAGGAUCAGCCUCUUGAUGUCUUAUUCGAUCGAGGAAAUCAAGUAACAAAUGUUUAAAUUUGCAGCUAGCUAUGUUGUAAAAUAAACACCUGCUAAGGUAUAUUUAGCAUGGUUUUCUAAAUAAAUUAUCUUUCCUUCUCCUUUA